rnacentral:tRNA from 1 species
GCCUUGGUAGCACAAAUGUUAAGUGCUCAGCUGUGAACUGAAAAGUUGGUGGUUUGAACCCACCCAGUGGCU